AACAAAUCCUAGGUGCCUCCCAAGACCUACUAAAUCAAAAUCUUGGUGGUCAAGAGAUAGUGAUUAGUGGCUGGGCACGGUGGCUUACGCCUGUAAUCCCAGCACUUUGGGAGGCUGAGGUGGGCGGAUCACGAGGUCAGGAGAUCGAGACCAUCCUCGCUAACACGGUAAAACCCCGUCUCUACUAAAAAUACAAAAACAAAAUUAGCGGGGCAUGGUUGGGGUUGCCUGUAGUCCCAGCUACUCUGGAAGCUAAGCCAGGAGAAUGGCGUGAACCCGGAAGGCGGAGCUUGCAGUGAGCCGAGAUCAUGCCACUGCACUCCAGCCUAGGCGACAGAGCGAGACUCCGUCUCAGAAAAAAAAAAAGAGAGAGAUAAUGAUUAGGAAUGAGGAUAAUCAGGAUUUUUUUCACAAAGCUCUCCUGGUGAUUCUAAUGAUCAUCAGUAAUCUCGUAGACAGUAACAUAGCUUAUUAAUAAUAUAAAUCACUUUUUGACUAAAAUAGUAUAGAUAGAAACGUGUAUUUUUGUAGACAUAGAAGCACCCAGAAGAAAAGGGCUUUCUGAUUACAUGACAUAUAUCAAAUGAUGGGAUGAGCUGUUGACCAUAACUCGGCCACAAAGAUUAAAAACAGCAUUUAUGACCUUUGUAGGUCAGUGUCUCUACCAUAUAUGUAGGAUGGAAUUGGCAGAGGGAAUUCUUCCAUAAGUUGGGUAAAUUAUAUUUUUAACUCUGGCAUUUGUUCUUAUGGUGAGAGUUCAUUUUUUAGCUUCUUUAGAUAAAGCUGGCCCCACUGAUUUGGCCCUAAGAUUAAUAUCUGCUGUAAAGUAUAGGCAGUCUCUACUGUAGAUUCUGUGCAGCCAUGCACAUAUCAGAAAGUGGUGGCCACAGGACAUACACCUGACUGUAGCUGUGGCUACACUAUGGUCAUCCUCUGGACAUCAGUGGUGAGUCCAAAGCUAGUUGUGAGGAGGGAAAGACUAUGAAUGAGUAAUAGAAUGUAGGAACUAAUAGUACUUGUGAACUCAGUAGACCCAGACUAUAGGAUUUCCAUAUUGCUUUGACCACCUUUGGUUAUAAUGAUGGAAUCAGAGGUCUUUUAAUUAUGAUGGUAGUUCCUUUGGUUUUAUUAUAAGUGACUUUUUUCUUUCUCAACUGAUUUGGUCCAUAUUCUUAUUUCUUAAACUGAAGUAGACGUAUAGAUCCACAUUAUAUGUUUCAUAAGAGUUAAAUUAUCCUUACGUCCUGAAAAUAGCUGUCUAGUGUCUAGCCCAGGGUCAAAUGCAAUGAAAGAAAGCCAACCAGUUUUUUGCUGUUGUUUUGUUUUUGUUUUUGCAGUGGUACAAUUCCACAGUCCUGCCUCUCAUAUAUUUAACACCUUUAGCCCACAUAAUUCAAGAAGCACAUUAUUAAGGUGUUGUCUGGCUCUGUGACCCACUAGUAUGCAUCAGUGAAGCCAGUGCUAGGUUUGGAUCUGGGUGUUUAUGAGAAAUGUGUUGAUGAGAAAUUAAGUUUUCCCUUGAUACAGCAGGAGGAUUUGAAAUGCGUUAUCACAGUGUUCUCAAGGUAGAUGCAGCAACAGUUGUAGUAAUGGUAGAAUUAGAAAAUUUAAUUUGGGAAUAUUUUUUAAGAUUUCAGCCAGGCACGAUGGCUCACGCCUGUAAUCCCAGCUACUCGGGAGGCUGAGGUAGGAGAAUGGUGUGAACCUGGGAGGUGGAGCUUGCAGUGAGCAGAGAUCACGCCACUGCACUCCAGCCUGGGCGACAGAGCAAGACUCCAUCUUAAAAAAAAAAAAAAGAUUUCAGAUAUUUUCCCAGUUGCCCAACAGUUUCUUUUUAUUCAUCAAGUUUUUUCCCAGAUAACAACGUAAGUGGUAUAUGUGCUCCAUGAAUAAUUGAUGAAACAGCAGUACACUGACUGGCUGUUCCAAAACUUAUAUGACCAAAGGCAGAGUCCAUCCUCUACAUCCAAAAAAGCAAGGUGCUUUUUUUCUUCCUACUGCUUUCUUAUGUUAUUAGUGUCAGACUUGCCCUUACGUCUACCUGUGGUUGGUUUUUUUUUUUUUCCUAUAUUUAGUUGAUGUCAUUUUAGAAAUACAUCCCUGGAGCCUUCAUCUCCACAGAGAUCUGUUGCAGGUAUCUUGAAGGGAGAGAAAAUUACUUACUUGUAUUUCUUGUUCUCUGCAGAUAUACAAACCCAGUAGAUCAUCACUUGCCUGCCCUCUGUCCUCCCUGAGUUGAGGAUAAUUGGCUUGUUAUUAUUAGAUACUAUUAUAGUUAUUAUUUUCGUUUCAAAAAGACUUGAAGGCCUACAGUUCAGGGCCCCAGAAGGAAAGGCACAUUCAGACAGAUGCAUACCUCCUGCUGGUAGGCAAAGUCAAUAGCUGAGAAACUUAAGCCUUUAAUAUCUGAACUGUUUUUUACUGAGACAUAAGAACAUAUUGAGUAAUGAAAAUUACAUUCACAAACUAUCAGAGAAGCAGAAUUAGAAUAUUUUUUAAUGUUUUUGGCAUUACAGAUGCCAAAAAUUUGUAAAUUUGUAAAUGCCAUUAUAAAUUUGGCAGUCACAUACACAGGCCCUUCAUGUUCUGAAAUCAGAUGCUUAAUCUAAUUUCUAAAAUUUUUUGUAUAUAUUUACAUGCAUGGAAAUAUAGAAAUGAACUUGCCGAGAAUCAUAAUAGCAGUUGAUACAGCGCUACAAAGAGGUUCUGCUCUGAAUGGGGGCUCUCUCCUUGCCUAACCUGGCUGUCAGUGACUAAUUGUGGUUCCCUGGGAGGCAGAAAAAAAAAAUCACUGCCUUUCUUGGGCAGAAUUGGAGAAGUUAUAUGGGCCAUUUCUCAGCUUGUGUGUUUUGGAUAACAGAAGAGAGCAUUCUUCAGGGCCACCCUGAAGGUCAUUCAGAUAUCCCAUUUUUAAAGAGUGGAAUGUAUAGCUUUGAUAUUUGGCGUGAAAGUAGGCACAGGGUGCCUAGUUUGCCUACAACUGGACAAUAUAUGAAUCUUCCAAAAAGUAAUACUCUUUUUUGAAUCAACUGUAAGCACUUUUCAAAGAGUGAGUUCACAUAAGGAUCACAGGCGUGAUGUUCUCACCUGAAGGGUGUGAUACAUCUUCAAACACUCAGAAGAGGCAGGUUGGCUAUCGCAUGUUAGGGCAUAUAUUUCAAUUUCCACGCCAUGAGUUAUAAAGAUAAAUACACAAAGAUAUUUCUUGUCCAUUAUAAAAUAAUUAACGUUUACAACUCUGAUCUUAAAAAGAGUUGAAUUCAUGGUAACUUAGCAACAAUUCAGUGGAGUCAAUUUUACAACAUUUCUUACGGAAGUCUGAAUCGGACAAUAGGAUUCCAAUUAAACUGUUAAUUGUGUCAUUUAAUACUUGGCAUGUAAAGCGGAGGCCUGACACAGAGAGAAUAAAGUAGACAUAGCGUUAAUGAUACAAUUCAACUGAUUCUUUUCUAAACAUAUGACAAUAAUUUCAUGACAUACAUGUCAGUAUUUUUUAAAUAACUAGGUAUUAUAAUUGAGGAUCAAUAAAUUUUUUUUUAAACUUCCAACAGAAUUUAGUAUUACGUGUGCAUUUUAUGCUGAAAUCAGGUGAUUGCCUAACCAUCCAAAAGUUUCCAAAACACUCAGAAUGAAAUCCAAAGGCCUUAUCAUGGCCUACUAGACCCUACACAGUCCAGCCACUAGAGUCAUCCAGACCCUAUCAGGUAUUCUUCUCUUUGCUCACUGCCUUCCUACCACAUUAGCCUCCUGGCUACUCUUUGAAAACAGCAAGCAGUUCUGUCUCAAGCUCUUUCAUUUGCUCUCCUUUCUGCCAGGAAGACUCUUCACCUGUGUUCGUUUCCUCACUUCAAUCCAGUUUCUGCUCAGAUAUCACCUCCUCAGAAAGAAUUUUCUAGAUACCCCAACUUAAAAUGCCUGCCCUCAUCACUCUCCAAUCUCUGGCCCUGAUUUAUAGGAUCUCUUACUCCCUAACUUUAUAUUUUUUUAUCUACUUGUGUAUUUACCAACUGUCUCACCUAACAGAACGUGAACUUUUUUGAAACCAAAUUUUGUCUGUCUUGUCUGAACCAAGACCCUGCCGCAGAGUAGGAACACAAUAAAUAUCUGCUAAAUAAAUGUGAAUUUUAUUGGAAAAAGUUGAAUUUGCAUUUCUAAAAUGAUAUCAGAAACUACUUGUUAUGAACAUUCUCCUUAGUUGUUCACAUGAUUUCAGGGUUAUUAUAUUUUAACAGAAGGCCGAGGUGGGCGGAUCACCUGAGGUCGGGAGUUCGACACCAGUCUGACCAACAUGGAGAAACCCCGUCUCUACUAAAAAUACAAAAUUAGCCAGGCGUGGUGGCGCAUGUUUGUAAUCCCAGCUACUCGGGAGGCUGAGGCAGGAGAAUCGCUUGAACCCGGGAGGCAGAGGUUGCGGUGAGCUGAGAUUAUGCCAUUGCACUCCAGCCUGGGCAACAAGAGCGAGACUCCAUCUCAAAAACAAAAAAAAGAGAAAGAGAAAUAGAAAGGCCUAAAAUUUGAACUUAGAAAUAUAUAAAGAAAGACUCAUUCUGUAUCUGUGAUAUUUAUUCCUGAAAAGAUUUAUUAACAUUCACCUGACUCAGUAUUGUUUUUCUGUAUUAUUAUAUAAUGAAUGACAUCUUUUAAAAUAAAUAUUUUUAUUAUGCAGUUAAUAUAUGCUCACAUUAGAAAAUGUGGUAAAUACAGGCCAGGCAUGGUGGCUUGCACCUGUAAUCCCAGCUAUUUGGGGGAGGCUGAGGCAGGAGGAUCAGUUGAGUCCAGGAGUUCGAGACCAGCCUGGGCAACAUAGUGAGACCCCAUCUCUAACAAAAUAAAAUAAUUAGCUGAGCAUGGUAGCAAGUGCCUAUGGGAGGUGAGGAGCGUAAGAUCACUGGAACCCAGGAGUUCAAUGCUGCAGUGAACUAUAAUGGCAUCACCACACCCCAGCCUGGACAAUACAGCAAGACCCCUGUCUCUAAAAAAAAAAAAUAAUUAAUUUUUUAAAAAGAUAAUCUAGGAAAUACAAAAACUUCUACCCGGAAAUUACCACUGGUUAAAUGUUUCUUUUUGGGUUAAAUAAAAUUGGGAUCCAGUUGUUUACCAUAGGCUAUUUAACUAUAUUUUUCUCUUAACAUUUUUUAUUUGCAAUUAUAUCUUAAGCAUUUCUUGCCAUUAAAUAUCUUCAGAAACAUAAUGUUUAACGUCCUCAUACUAUUUCAUUAUGUUUAUGCCUCAUACAUUAUUUAAACAUUCCCUUAUUCUUGAACAUUAAGAUGGGUUUUGGUGUUUUGAUAGAGUUUUUAAAAAUGCUGUUAUGAUUAUCUUCAUAUACGAUUGUACGUAUAUCUUUGGAUAAGUUCAAGUAAAAGGAUAUAAACAUUUAAAGUAACUAAUACUAGUUUAAUGAAGUGUGUGAUCUCAAUGCUAAUAAAGUAUUAGAUAUUCCAAUUCACUUGGGGGUAGGAAUUUUUUGAUGUAUGGAGUGUUUUUAUGUAAAUGAGCUCAUGUAUCUUGCUUCAACUUAACGAUUAUAUUAUAA
rnacentral:lncRNA from 1 species